CCUACGGGUGGCAGCAGUGGGGAAUAUUGCGCAAUGGGCGAAAGCCUGACGCAGCGACGCCGCGUGAGGGAUGAAGGUCUUCGGAUUGUAAACCUCUGUCAGCAGGGAAGAACGGUCACUGUGCUAAUCAGCAGUGAAUUGACGGUACCUGCAAAGGAAGCACCGGCUAACUCCGUGCCAGCAGCCGCGGGAAUACGGAGGGUGCGAGCGUUAGUCGGAAUUACUGGGCGUAAAGCGGUCGUAGGCGGUAUGUCAAGUCAAGGGGGAAAUCCCCGAGCUCAACGUAGGAACUGCCUUUGAAACUGGCAAACUGGAGUGUGUGAGAGGAUAGUGGAAUUCCAGGUGUAGGAGUGAAAUCCGUAGAUAUCUGGAGGAACAUCAGUGGCGAAGGCGACUAUCUGGCACAUAACUGACGCUGAGGAGCGAAAGCGUGGGUAGCAAACAGGAUUAGAUACCCUAGUAGUC
rnacentral:rRNA from 1 species